rnacentral:rRNA from 1 species
UGCGUAGGUGGUUCGUUAAGUCUGAUGUGAAAGCCCUGGGCUCAACCUGGGAAUGGCAUUGGAAACUGGCGACCUAGAGUGCGGUAGAGGGUAGUGGAAUUCCCGGUGUAGCAGUGAAAUGCGUAGAGAUCGGGAGGAACAUCCGUGGCGAAGGCGACUACCUGGACCAGCACUGACACUGAGGCACGAAAGCGUGGGAGCAAACA